rnacentral:rRNA from 1 species
UGGUGCUUGCAUCAUGAUUUACAUUUGAGUGAGUGGCGAACUGGUGAGUAACACGUGGGAAACCUGCCCAGAAGCGGGGGAUAACACCUGGAAACAGAUGCUAAUACCGCAUAACAACUUGGACCGCAUGGUCCGAGUUUGAAAGAUGGCUUCGGCUAUCACUUUUGGAUGGUCCCGCGGCGUAUUAGCUAGAUGGUGGGGUAACGGCUCACCAUGGCAAUGAUACGUAGCCGACCUGAGAGGGUAAUCGGCCACAUUGGGACUGAGACACGGCCCAAACUCCUACGGGAGGCAGCAGUAGGGAAUCUUCCACAAUGGACGAAAGUCUGAUGGAGCAACGCCGCGUGAGUGAAGAAGGGUUUCGGCUCGUAAAACUCUGUUGUUAAAGAAGAACAUAUCUGAGAGUAACUGUUCAGGUAUUGACGGUAUUUAACCAGAAAGCCACGGCUAACUACGUGCCAGCAGCCGCGGUAAUACGUAGGUGGCAAGCGUUGUCCGGAUUUAUUGGGCGUAAAGCGAGCGCAGGCGGUUUUUUAAGUCUGAUGUGAAAGCCUUCGGCUCAACCGAAGAAGUGCAUCGGAAACUGGGAAACUUGAGUGCAGAAGAGGACAGUGGAACUCCAUGUGUAGCGGUGAAAUGCGUAGAUAUAUGGAAGAACACCAGUGGCGAAGGCGGCUGUCUGGUCUGUAACUGACGCUGAGGCUCGAAAGUAUGGGUAGCAAACAGGAUUAGAUACCCUGGUAGUCCAUACCGUAAACGAUGAAUGCUAAGUGUUGGAGGGUUUCCGCCCUUCAGUGCUGCAGCUAACGCAUUAAGCAUUCCGCCUGGGGAGUACGGCCGCAAGGCUGAAACUCAAAGGAAUUGACGGGGGCCCGCACAAGCGGUGGAGCAUGUGGUUUAAUUCGAAGCUACGCGAAGAACCUUACCAGGUCUUGACAUACUAUGCAAAUCUAAGAGAUUAGACGUUCCCUUCGGGGACAUGGAUACAGGUGGUGCAUGGUUGUCGUCAGCUCGUGUCGUGAGAUGUUGGGUUAAGUCCCGCAACGAGCGCAACCCUUAUUAUCAGUUGCCAGCAUUAAGUUGGGCACUCUGGUGAGACUGCCGGUGACAAACCGGAGGAAGGUGGGGAUGACGUCAAAUCAUCAUGCCCCUUAUGACCUGGGCUACACACGUGCUACAAUGGAUGGUACAACGAGUUGCGAACUCGCGAGAGUAAGCUAAUCUCUUAAAGCCAUUCUCAGUUCGGAUUGUAGGCUGCAACUCGCCUACAUGAAGUCGGAAUCGCUAGUAAUCGCGGAUCAGCAUGCCGCGGUGAAUACGUUCCCGGGCCUUGUACACACCGCCCGUCACACCAUGAGA